rnacentral:rRNA from 1 species
UACGUAGGGUGCGAGCGUUGUCCGGAAUUAUUGGGCGUAAAGAGCUCGUAGGCGGCCUGUUGCGUCGGUUGUGAAAGCCCGGGGCUUAACCCCGGGUCUGCAGUCGAUACGGGCAGGCUAGAGUUCGGUAGGGGAGACUGGAAUUCCUGGUGUAGCGGUGAAAUGCGCAGAUAUCAGGAGGAACACCGGUGGCGAAGGCGGGUCUCUGGGCCGAUACUGACACUGAGGCGCGAGAGCGUGGGGAGCAAACAGG